UGAGGAAUAUUGGUCAAUGGACGAGAGUCUGAACCAGCCAAGUAGCGUGAAGGAUGACUGCCCUAUGGGUUGUAAACUUCUUUUAUACGGGAAUAAAGUGAGGCACGUGUGCCUUUUUGUAUGUACCGUAUGAAUAAGGAUCGGCUAACUCCGUGCCAGCAGCCGCGGUAAUACGGAGGAUCCGAGCGUUAUCCGGAUUUAUUGGGUUUAAAGGGAGCGUAGGCGGACGCUUAAGUCAGUUGUGAAAGUUUGCGGCUCAACCGUAAAAUUGCAGUUGAUACUGGGUGUCUUGAGUACAGUAGAGGCAGGCGGAAUUCGUGGUGUAGCGGUGAAAUGCUUAGAUAUCACGAAGAACUCCGAUUGCGAAGGCAGCUUGCUGGACUGUAACUGACGCUGAUGCUCGAAAGUGUGGGUAUCAAACAGGAUUAGAUACCCUGGUAGUCCACACAGUAAACGAUGAAUACUCGCUGUUGGCGAUAUACGGUCAGCGGCCAAGCGAAAGCAUUAAGUAUUCCACCUGGGGAGUACGCCGGCAACGGUGAAACUCAAAGGAAUUGACGGGGGCCCGCACAAGCGGAGGAACAUGUGGUUUAAUUCGAUGAUACGCGAGGAACCUUACCCGGGCUUAAAUUGCAACUGACUGAACCGGAAACGGUUCUUUCCUCGGACAGUUGUGAAGGUGCUGCAUGGUUGUCGUCAGCUCGUGCCGUGAGGUGUCGGCUUAAGUGCCAUAACGAGCGCAACCCUUAUCGAUAGUUACUAGCAGGUCAUGCUGAGGACUCUAUUGAGACUGCCGUCGUAAGAUGUGAGGAAGGUGGGGAUGACGUCAAAUCAGCACGGCCCUUACGUCCGGGGCUACACACGUGUUACAAUGGGGGGUACAGAAGGCAGCUACACGGCGACGUGGUGCUAAUCCCGAAAGCCUCUCUCAGUUCGGAUUGGAGUCUGCAACCCGACUCCAUGAAGCUGGAUUCGCUAGUAAUCGCGCAUCAGCCACGGCGCGGUGAAUACGUUCCC
rnacentral:rRNA from 2 species